GAGACAACCUUAUAGGGCAGGACUCGCUUCAGUGGGGUUUUGAUGCUCACUGAGUCUGCCCCUUCAAUGUGUCUCU
rnacentral:pre_miRNA from 1 species